GAAGAACCUUACCAGGUCUUGACAUCCCCCUGAGAGUCUAAGAGAUUAGAUGUUUUGUCUUCGGACAGACAGGGAGACAGGUGGUGCAUGGUUGUCGUCAGCUCGUGGCGUGAGAUGUUGGGUUAAGUCCCGCAACGAGCGCAACCCUUAUCUUUAGUUGCCAGCACGUAAGGUGGGCACUCUAGAGAGACUGCCGGUGACAAACCGGAGGAAGGUGGGGAUGACGUCAAAUCAUCAUGCCCUUUAUGACCUGGGCUACACACGUGCUACAAUGGCCUGUACAAAGGGUAGCGAAGCCGUGAGGUGGAGCCAAUCCCAAAAAGCAGGUCUCAGUUCGGAUUGCAGGCUGCAACUCGCCUGCAUGAAGUCGGAAUCGCUAGUAAUCGCGGAUCAGCACGCCGCGGUGAAUACGUUCCCGGGCCUUGUACACACCGCCCGUCACACCACGAAAGUCUGCAACACCCGAAGCCGAUGGAGCAACCUUGAAAGAGGAGCAAGUCGUCGAAGGUGGGGCCGAUGAUUGGGGUGAAGUCGUAACAAGGUA
rnacentral:rRNA from 1 species